UGGGCUGCGUCCGAAAUCGCAUACUUCCAUACUAUAUGGUAGGCGAAAAACAGUAUGUGAAGCAAGUAGUAUGUCCGAAUUCUUAGUAUUCGAAAAACAGUAGGCGAGAUGUACCCGGAUGGCCUACUACUUCCGCCCGAAUUCCGUAGCAUGCAUAGGAUGGACACUACUCUAUCCCAUGAGGCCACGGGAGAGGACUCGUCAUACUCAUAUUCGAAAAUAACGGAAAAUCGUGACGCAGCUGUUUUGAAGUGGAGUGAUGAACACACUCUUGUUCUCAUCCACUGAUGAAACCCUACUCACUGGAAAGCAUAAUUCAUGUAUCAUCGUCAUGAUCUUCCACAACUUCUGGAUCAACAAUGUCUCCAUUCAAAAGACGGAGGUUGUGGAGCACUGCACAGCAUGCAGCAACAUCUGGCACAAAGGCAGGACUCACUUCCAGGGCCUUGAAGAAGAAGAAGAUGGAGCACAGCUUGUCUUCAGCAUCCCGAAGGCUCUCUCAACAAUGUUCUGUGCACGAGCAUCAUUGGUGUUGAAUCAAAGCUGUGCAGGAUUCUGUUCAGACUCUCUGUAUGCUGUGAUGAGGCAGAUGUGUGCACUCAAACAAGGAUACCCACCAUCUCCCAGGAUGUGUUUUCCUGCAGUUGGAUACAGGCCUCCAGUAUAAAUA